rnacentral:misc_RNA from 1 species
GAUGAAGAAACGUAGCAAAAUGCGAUAAGUAAUGUGAAUUGCAGAAUUCAGUGAAUCAUCGAAUCUUUGAACGCACAUUGCGCCCGCUGGUAUUCCGGCGGGCAUGCCUGUUCGAGCGUCAUUUCAACCCUCAAGCCCCCGGGUUUGGUGUUGGGGAUCGGCUCUGCCCUUCUGGGCGGUGCCGCCCCCGAAAUACAUUGGCGGUCUCGCUGCAGCCUCCAUUGCGUAGUAGCUAACACCUCGCAACUGGAACGCGGCGCGGCCAUGCCGUAAAACCCCAACUUCUGAAUGUUGACCUCGGAUCAGGUAGGAAUACCCGCUGAACUUAAGCAUAUCAAUAAGCGGAGGA